GAUGGUUCAAUUUUUAAAAUCCAGUAAAUAUAAAACAAUAUUACUAAGCAAAAGAAAAAGCACUUCACAAUACCAAUUGAUGUAGAACAGACAUAUAACAAAAUUUAAUAUUUAUUCAUGGUGAAAAUUUCCCAGAAAUCUUCUUCAAUGUAAUAAGGGCAUUUGCAAAAAAAAAAAAAAAAAAGUCAUGAUAUCCUUAAAUGAUGAAAGACUGAAUGCUUCCCACCUAAAAGUCAGUAGCAAAUUAAGAUGUCCCCCUUUACCAUCUCAAUUUAACACCAUACUAAAAGUCCUAGCCAGUACAAUAAGGUAAGAUUAAAAACCAAAGGACACACAGAAUGUAAAGGGAGAAACAAGACUGUACCUACCAACAGAUGACAUGAUUAUCUUCAUAGAAAAACCCAAGGAAACUAUAGAAGGCUUCUUAGAUCUAAUAAGUGAGUUCAGUAAGUUGCAAGAUACAAAGUGAACACACAAACGCACAAACAUCAAACAUAUUUCUGUACACUGGUCAUGUAAAUAAAAACAGAAAUUUUAAAACAAUAUUGAAAACAUCUCAUAAUGUAAAUAUCCAGGCAUAAAUAUAACAGAACAUGUAUAAGUAUGAUGUGCUGAAAACCACAAAUUAAUUAGAAACAAAAUCAAAGAAGAACUAAAUAAUACUGUGUCUAUAGACUAUAUACUCAAUAUUGUAAAGGUAUCAAUUUCUCCCUGAUUGAUUUAAAAUUUUCCUCAAUUUCAAUAAAUAUCUCAGCAAAAUUUAUUACAUAUACAGAAAAAUUGAUUCUAUUAUAUAUGAAAAUGUAAAAAAUAGAAUAUCUUCAACAAUUUUGAAGGAGAUAAAAAUGGAAGAAGAUAAAGCAGUGUAAGGUAAUAUAAAUAGAGUCACAUUAGAGCUAGGGAAGAGCCACAAUAAAAGACUUCAGAAAAGAAGACAAAACAUUGCUAUGAAAAUUUGAAUCCUAUUAGAUGCUUACUGUCCAGGGAUCCUAGAAUUAAACAAAGAAAUCUUUCUCAGAUAUAGAAAAAAUAAUUAUUGAAACCUACCAAGUGGAAAUGGAAAAAUAUUUUUAAAAUUUUACCGUGCAUAACAGCAAACAAGAACUUAGAAAGAGCAAGAAAAGUAGGGCAAAACUUAUAGAAGGCCAUUUGCAGCUUUCCUUAUCUAAACUAAUGUCUAAGGUUAUAAACAAGAAAAGGAAAAAUGUAUAGAAGAUUUUCUGUAUUCUACUUCAGGAGACUUUCAAACAAUAUUCUGAAGCAGACCCCAGAGCUAAUGUAAAAGGAGCCCUGUCCUGUCUUUAUGUAAUAGAUGGGCUAUAAUCUGAAAUAGGAAAUUUUGUUAAAAAUUGCUUGGAAAAUUGUAGUUAUGGGGGAAAUCUCCAAUAUUCAGCUGAAUGAUUUCAAGUGAACUUAAAACAAUUGAUAUACUAAAGGCCAAGACAAACUUAUGGCCCUUCAGGUAAAACAACAGGCUCCUAAAAUAGAAACUGAAUUGAAGGGCCUUCCAUAAUCUAAGGAUUAUGGAAUUAUUAUUGAGGAUAUGUACAGCUAUUGCAAGCAAAAAAGCCAUUGGUAGAGCCAAUGUCUCAUAUGAUUGAAGAUCAAAAAAAUCAAAACUAAUCACCCCUUUCACUAGUCUAUGUAAUAUGGCUGAUUUACCUGUAAGGACUAAAUGGAUGAGAUGGUAGUUCUGUUCAAGAUUUCCAAGUAACUAAUAUAAUAGCUAUGUGGUUAUACUUCACUUUCUGGUAUUUCCUAUCCAACCGAUCAUACUUUGCUCAGUCUUACCUGAAGAUAGAAAAUUCUUCGUUAACAGAGACUUCUAUUCAGCAUUCUUUACUAUCCUAGUAACUAAAGAUAGUCAAUAUUCAUUUUCUUUUACUGGGGAAAAUAUAUUACUUGGAGAGUGACAUCUGUGUAAUUACUGGGGCUCUAGCUCAUGUCUCUUAACUUUUAGAUCAGGAUGUCUAAAACAAAAUUUCCAUUUUGAUCUCUCUUAUACAAUAUGUACAUGAUUUCCUCCUACACUUCACUGAUUCAGAGUCUUCUACAACUAACUCUAAAUAUCUAUUCACUGAAAUGGCUUAAGAAGGAUACAUAAAUUAAGGAAAAGCUUCCCAGUCCUAAGAGGCCAAUCAUUACCUCAAUCAUGAUUUGUCAGCCAAAAUUAGGGUGUUAUCUGGGGGAAUAUUGUUGACUAUUCAAAAUUAUCCAAAGCUAUUUUCUAAAAGAAAAUUUCUUGGAUUUACAAUAUUUUCUCUUUUUUUUAUUUAUAUUUUUUAAAGAUAGGGUUUCUCCACGAUGGCCAGGCUGGUCUUGAACUCCUGACCUCAGGUGAUUCACCCACCUCGGCCUCCCAAAGUGCUAGGAUUACAGGCAUGAGCCACCGCGCCCAGGCUUUUAUUUCCUUUUUUUUUUGACUUUACAAUAUUUUGCAAACAAUAGUGACUUAGCUUUUCUGAAGUAGUAAGGCCUUUACAUGAGCUUCACGUCUGUGAAACUCAGAAAUUAAAAAUGCCCUUAGUAACUUCAAAAUGCCCCUUCAACAACUACCUUUGCUGGGUCUUCUAGAUUAUGAUCAACUUUUUUGUUGUUGUUUUGUUUUUUCUGUGCCCAGUUAAGUUCAAGUCAUGGUCUUGAGACAUGAAUGUAAAAACACCCAUCAGUAACUCAUUGCCUAUAGCCUGUCUCUUGAUCCAGAAGCCAAGACUUAACCUUUUGCCUCCAAGUGACUGCAGCUUCAGGUAAAUGUUUCAACUAGUGAAAGUAGUUACUCUUUUUCCCUUACUUGAUGACUGGGCUGCAAUGAUGUUUUUAACAGGAAGAAUGCCCAAGGCUGAUCAUCUAGAUAUUCUCCUUCAAAAUCUUAAUGUGACUUUAUUUGUUGACGGGUUUUAUCUUAAAAAUGACAAAGAUCAAUACUACAUUUGGUUUCCUCUUUGCCUAAGCAAGAAUUUUGAAAUCUUUUUUGUUGGAGAUUUGAGAAAAGUGUGAUUUCCUUUAAUUAGCAGCUGCACAACUGUGCCAUGGUUCUUAAGCAAAAGAAGAAACUCAGAAGCUAUCAAGCUAAUUGUUAAAACAACGAAACUAAAAGCUGAAUUUUAAGAACAUAAGAGGGACGCGCCCGGCGGGGCAUGGCGUCCGAGCGAGGCGGGCGUCCGCUAGCGGCCAGUGUUGAGUCCCAGGCUGGGGCCGGGAGAUUGGCAGAGAACCAGGGCCGAGGGCUGGGGCUGGUGGGCACGCUCACCGCCUCUAGCUCGCAGCAGCGGCGGCACUCGCGGGCGAGGGCCACUGGGAAGAGGAGACGCAGCUCCGCGGGUGGCACGCUCUGCCGGGCCCCGGCCCCGGCCCGCGCUCAACAGGCGCGAUGCUCUUCUCGCUCCGGGAGCUGGUGCAGUGGCUGGGUUUCGCCACCUUUGAGAUCUUCGUGCACCUGCUAGCCCUGUUGGUGUUCUCCGUGCUGCUGGCACUGCGUGCGGAUGGCCUGGUACCGGGCCUCUCCUGGUGGAACGUGUUCGUGCGGAUGGCCUGGUACCGGGCCUCUCCUGAUGGAACGUGUUCGUGCCUUUCUUCGCCACCAUCGUGUCGGUCUGCCUCUUCCAGGACUGAGAGAAGCGGCUGGCAGUGCUCCGCCUUUUCUAGGUCCUCGCGGUCCUGAGUCUCAAGUUCUUUUUCGAGGUGCUGUUGUGCCAGAAGCUGGCGGAGCAGACUCGGGAGCUCUGGUUCGGCCUCAUCACGUCCCGGGUCUUCAUUCUCCCGCAGCUGCUCAUGAUCCGAGCCUGCCGAGUCAACUAGCCCCUUGGAGGUGCUGGAGAGAGCGCUGGACGGCUAGAAUGCUGACUUCAAGCCGAGGUCCUACUUGCGCUGCACCGGAGGAGAGGUUCUUUGGUCGGAAGGCAACUCCUGCUUGCGCCGAGCUGACUGCCCAGUUUUUCUAUUCCAAUAAUGUCUGAAAUGGUUUCUUCAGCAGGGCUUAAAAGAGCAGCCUUCAUCCUUAAAAUGUAUUUCCUUUUAUUUCAUGCUUUGAGUAGGUAAUCCUGAAUUGUCCUGAGGAGGGCCCCAGGCCAGACAGUCCUGAACUCCUCUGACACUCGGAAACUGAAUAUAAGUAAAAUGUCCAGGUGGACUCUGAGUAUUUCCUGUGGGUUCUGGGAAAGUACUGCUGCACAAGGGCUGCAAAGCUGGACUCAGGGAUGUCCUGCAACCAGCAGCGCUGACCUAAGAGCUCCCUGCACCGCCCAUCCGAACCAGACUUCGGUAGAUGUGGUCUUCAGAUCUAUCAAACGUAAACGAGCUUGUAUCUCCUCCCCUGUGCCACGAGAGAGUUUGGCUCUUUAUUUCAGUCUAGGCAGAAACAGAAGAAUGUUGAAUAAGAGCACAAUUAGGGUAUUGUCUGGUUAUCUGUUGCCCAAGAAAAGAACUCUGCUGUCCAGGUGCUGCUUGGCUUCCUAUCCCAGCAAAGACUGCAGUUUUAUGGACUUUUUCACCACCUUGUGGCUGGCACCGUUAGCACACCUGAGACAGAUUUAAGCCUCCCUAAGAAACUGAAGAGAGGAACAGGUGUCGGAUGCUCAAUAGGCAUUGAGACCUACAAAUGGCAAGCUUGUGAGUGACCCAGCUUUGUUGGCCUACAAACUUUGGUUUGAUGCCACUCAGGUGCCAAAUGAAAACCUUUGCUGAGAUGCAAAAAUUAGUAAGAGAAUGUUUUCCUGAAAAAAAAAAAAGAACAUAAAAGGUUAUUAAAAUUCUGCAUAGCUGGCGGAGUGCUGGGCAUCGGUGCGCAUUUCCGGCACUGCCUGGUGGUGCCCAUUUUUAUUAAAAAAAAAAACACACAAAGAUUCUGCAUAGCAAAAUAAACAUUUAUAUGAACAAGUCAAGGGCAAAAUGAUAGAUUGGAAGAAAAUAUUUACAUCAUAUCUUUUUAAAAAUUUCAAUAGUUUUCGGGGGAACAGGCGGUAUUUGGUUCAAUGGAUAAGCUCUUUAGCUGUGAUUUCUGAGAUUUUGGUGCGCCCAUCACCCAAGCAGUGCACACUGUACCUAAUGUAUUUUAUCUCUCACCCCACUCCCACCCAUUACCCCAUGUCCCCAAAGUUCAUUGUAUCGACCUUAUGCCUCUGUGUCCUUAUAAAUUAGCUCCCAUUUAUGAGUGAUAACAUAUGAUGUUUGGUUUUCCAUUCCUGAGUUACUUCAUGUAGAAUACCGGUCUCCAACUUCAUCCAGGCUGCUGUGAAUGACAUUAUUUUGUUCCUUUUUAUGGCUGACUAGUAUUCCAUGGAACAUCUAUAUAUAUGUGCACCAUAUUUUCUUUAUCCACUCAUUGAUUGAUGGGCAUUUGGGCUGAUUCUGUCUUUUUGUAAUUAUAAAUUUUGCUGCUAUAAAUAUGCAUGUGCAAGUCUUUCUUGUAUAAUGACUUCUUUUACUCUGGGUAGAUACCCAGUAGUGGGAUUGCUGGAUCAAAUGGUAGAUCUACUUAUAGUUUUUUAAGGAAUCCUUACUCUGCUUUCCAUAGUGGUUAUACUAGUUAACAUUCCCAACAAUAGUAUAAAAGUGUUCCUUUUCACUGUAUCCAUGUCAACAUUUAUUAUUUUUUGAUUAUGGCCAUUCUUGCAGGAAUAAGGUGGUAUUGCAUUGUGGUUUUGAUUUGCAUUUCCCUGGAAAUUAGUGAUGUUGAGCAUUUUUUCAUAUGUUUGUUGGCCAUUUGUAUAUCUUCUGUUGAGAAUUGUCUAUUCAUGUCCUUAGCCCACUUUUUGAUGAGAUUAUUUGUUGUUUCUUGCUGAUUUGUUUGAGUUCCUUGUAGGUUCUGGAUGUUAGUCCUUUAUCGAAUGCACAGUUUGUGAAGAUUUUCUCUCACUUUGUAGGUUUCUGGUUAUUCUGCUAAUUAUUUCUUUUGCUUUGCAGGAGCUUUUUAGUUUAAUAAGUUUCAUCUAUUUAUCUUUGUUUUUGUUGCAUUUACUUUUGGGUUCUUGGUCAUGAGGUCUUUGUCUAAGCCAAUAUCAAGAAGGGUUUUUCCAAUGUAAUCUUCUAGAAUUUUUAUGGUAUCAGGUCUUAGAUUUAAGUCUGAUCAAUUUGAGUUGAUUUUUGUAUAAAAUGAGAGAAGAAGAUCCAGUUUCAUUCUUUGACAAGUGGGUUGCCAAUGAUCCCAGCACCAUUUUUUGAAUAGGGUGUUCUUUCUUCCACUUUUAUGUUUUUGUUUGCUUUGUCAAAGAUCAUUUGGCUGUAAUUAUUUGGCUUUUUUCUUUGGUUCUCAUUUUGUUCCAUUGGUCCAUGUGCCUAUUUUUAUACAAGUACCAUGCUGUUUUGGUAACCAUAGCGUUAUAUAAUAGUUUGAAGUUGGGUAAUGUGAUGCCUCCAGAUUUUUUCUUUUUACCUAGUCUUGCUUUGGCUACUUGGGCUCUUUUUUGGUUCCAUAUGAAUUUUAGGAUUGUUUUUUCUAGUUCCGUGAAGAAUGAUGGUAGUAUUUUGAUUGUAAUUCCGCUGAAUUUGUAGAUUGCUUUUGGCAGUACAGUUAUUUUGAUAAAUUGAUUCUAUCUCUCUGUGAGCAUGGGAUGUGUUUCCAUUUGUUUGUGUUGUUUAUAAUUUCUUUCAGCAGUGCAUUGUAGUUGUUCUUGUAGAGGUCUGUUCUCUUACCUACUUGGUUAGGCAUGCUCCUAGGUAUUUUAUUUUAUUCACAGCUAUUGUAAAAGGGGUUGAGUUCUUGGUUUGAUUCUCAGCUUAGUUGCUGUUGGUGUACAUUGAUUUUGUAUCCUGAAACUUUACUGAAUUCAUUUAUCAGAUCUAGGAGCUUUCCAGAUUAGUUUUUAGGGUUUUCUAGGUAUACAAUCAUAUCAUUGGCAAACAGUGACAGUUUGACUUCCUCUUUACUGAUUUGGAUGCCUUUAUUUCUUUCUCUUGUUUGAUUUCUCUGGCUAGAAAGAAUGUUGGAUAGAAGUGGUGAAAGUGGGCAUCUUUGUCUUGUUCCAGUCUCACAGCCUUUGCUUUGGCAAGCUGCUUCUUUCAAAGGGUCUCUGAAUUCUUUCAGUUUUCCUGGUAUGUUCCAGUGGUCGUUCUUAGAGCAAAAGUUCACAAUGUGGGUCUCCACAUGCUGUUCCAUCCCUCUGAGUGGGAGCUGCAAGUUAGUCCUGUCUUCUAUUUACAAUUUUUAUCAAACUCCCCCUACAUCAUAUUUGACAGACAAAGGUUAGUUUUCUUAAUACAAAAAAAUCUCUUCUAAUAGAUAUUCCAAUAGAAAAAUGGACACACAACAUAAAGAGAUGACUCUCAUAAGAGGAAGUGUGCAUGUCAAUCAUGUCAGUAACCAAAAAAAAGAAUAAUACAUAAUAAAUAAUAAAAUAAUAAAUAACAGUAAAAUGACAUUUAUCCAUGAUAUUGGCCCACACUUAAAAGAAGUACAAAAGUCAGGGCAAACAAAAGAUACAGGAAAAAAGGCCCUAUUCCUCUGCUGUGGGUGAGUUGCUGCAGCCUUCGUGGAUCAGAUUAAGACAUGCAGGGCUAGAUGCGGUGGCUUAAGCCUGUAAUCCCAGCACUUUGGGAGGCCGAGGUGGGUGGAUCAUGAGGUCAAGAGAUCGAGACCAUCCUGGUCAACAAGGUGAAACCCCAUCUCUACUGAAAAUACAAAAAAUUAGCUGGGCAUGGUGGCACGUGCCUGUAAUCCGAACUACUCAGGAGGCUGAGGCGGGAGAAUUGCCUGAACCCAGGAGGCGGAGGUUGCGGUGAGUCGAGAUUGCGCCAUUGCACUCCAGCCUGGGUAACAAGAGCGAGACACCGUCUCAAAAAAAAAAAAAAAAAAAAAGAAAAGAAAAGAAAAAAAAAGACACGCAAAGACUUUUAUUUUUUAACUUUUAAGUUCUAGGGUUCAUGUGCAGAAUGUGCAGGUUUGUUACAUAGGUAAGCAUGUAUCAGGGGAGUUUAUUAUACAGAAUAUUUCAUCACUCAGGUAUAAAGCCCAUUCGUUGCUUUUCCUGAUCCUCUUCCUCCUCCCAUCCUCUGCCCUCUGGUAGGCCCCAGUGUGCAUUGUUCUCCUCUAUGUGUCCAUGUGUUCUCAAUAUUUAGAUCACACUUAUAAGUAAGAACAUGUGGGUAUUUGGUUUUCUGUUCCUGCAUUAAUUUAACAAUAAUGGCCUCUAGCUCCAUCCAUCCAUGUCCCUGCAAAGGACAUGAUGUCAUUCUUUUUUAUGGCAGCAUAGUAUUUUGUGGUAUAUAUAUACCAUAUUUUCUUUAUCCAGUCUAUCAUUGAUGGGCAUUUAGAUUGAUUCUAUGUCUUUGGUACUGUGAAUAUGCUCCAGUGAACAUAUGCAUACAUGUGUCUUUAUAAUAGAAUAAUUUGUAUUACUUUGGGUAUAUACCCAGUAAUGGGAUUGCUGGGUCAAAUGGUAUCUCUGCCUGUAGGUCUUUAAGAAAUUACCACACUGUUUUCUACAAUGGUUGAACUAAUUUACAUUCCCAACAGUAUAAAAAACAUUCUUUUUUCUCCACAUUCUGCCAGCAUCUGUUAUUUUUUGACUUUUUAAUAAUGGCCAUUCUGACUGAUGUAAGAUGAAAUCUCACUGUGGUUUUGAUUUACAUUUCUCUAAUGAUUGAUGAUGCUGAGCUUUAUAUAUAUAUAUAUGUAUAUAUAUAUACACACAUAUAUGUAUAUAUAUACACACACAUAUGUGUGUGUGUGUGUGUGUGUGUAUAUAUAUACACAUAUAUAUAUAUAUAUAUAUAUAUGCUUGUUGGAUGCAGAGAUAUGCAUAUAUUUUGAUAACAGCAAUCACACUUGGGGAGUUUAUCCCACAGAACUUAAAGCCCUAGUACAUAAGGAUCUAUAUGCAAAAAAUUGUAUCCCAGUCUCAGCCUCCACACUGGUAAAUAGUUGAUUGUGGUGAGUACUUAAUGAGUCCAUUACUGGGGUUAAACCUAAUGAAUAGGAAAUGCUUUUUGAAAAUUAGUUAUAACUGUUAAAACACAUGGCAACAUAGAAUACUGUGGGAUUUCCAAAACAAGAUCCCAGAUUUCCUACCCUGACUACUCACACAGCAUCCUCUGUGUUUUCCACAGUGCAGUACUCAGAGGACUAACGUGGGAAAUAGCAGAGAUAAAUACUACAGUGCACAAGAGAAGCCUGCGCUUCCUCUGCCCCAAAUGGAGCCACCCUGGAGGGCCGCUUUCUGGAACUUUGACUAACUAGUCUACUGAGGUUUCUCUUGGUAUUAAUUACUCCCAGAAAUUUUGAGACAAGUGCAAAAAGAAGCCUCUGGAUCUUGGAGGCAGAGACAGCUCUGGCCAUGUCUACAGGGAUCCUGGAGAUCAGUCAUUGUCUGCUUGUCUCUGUGGGCUUUGCUAUCUCUAGGAAGCUGGCCUCCCAGUGGGCUUUCCUGGGCAGCUUGGAGGCUCUGGGUUGUUUUCAGAGGCCAAUUCUAGACUGAGAUGACUAGGAGCCUUUGUGAAAUUUCCCUAGUACAUAAGGGAUGGAUAAAUUCGGGGAAUUAUGAUGACUAAGAGAAAAGUCUACAGGCUAGAGUAAAUGCAUGCCAAGAAAACAGAGGCUGCAGAGAACCCUUUGCUUAGGGAAUCAUCUCUGUUUCUACUAAUGAUGUCCCAAUUUAGUGAGUGGGCUUUUCCAAAAGCCUGAAGGGUUAGGAUGCUUGCUUUGAUUAAUGGGAGAUGUGUAGUGUUUAUAGGGCUUCCUCUCCUCCAACAUCACCCAAUAUUUAUCCCUCUUACCCCAUCUUCCAUCCUUUCAACCACAACGUCACUGGCUUUAGGGUGGCAUGACUCUUUUUAAAAAAAUAAAAUGUGGAGACAGUGCUAUUAUGUUAGUUUGAUAAGUGAGGUAAUAGAAAUUGGCUGGAGUUAAUUCUAUGAGAUCCUUGGUCUGUGCAGAGAGGUACAGACAUUACUGAAUAUGCAGGUAAAAUGGAGUUACACAAUGUUAGGACAUCGCUCUGCCACUUGCCUGUCAUGUGCUUGUCACAGCGACUUCACCUCUGAAAUUUCUCCUUUGUGCAAAGUGGCCUAAAACCAUAGAAGAGCUCAGCACAUGUUAGUUCCCUUUACCUUUGAAAUAAAGGCUGUGCUAUUGAACGUUUGAUAAAUGGGUUUUAUCACUUGACUUUAGAAAAUCAUCUUAAUUUAAUAGAACAGAAAAAUGGGUUCCAAACAAACCUGUAGCACAUAGUUUCACAAAUAAACGCUGGUGUCUGAACAAUGAAUCAUUUACAAAAAUGGCUACUUAGUUUAGAACACAUCAUAAACUAAACUGUAGUUGAACUAAAGAGUUAAAUAUGAGUAAUGAAGCCAUAGGAAAGUACAGUGAAUAUUUAACCCAUCUCUUAAUCACAAAACUUAAGCACAAAAAUGAAAAAGAAGGGGAGUAAGAGGAGGUAGAGGAGAAAGAUAAAUGGGAAGAAGAGAAGAGAAAAAGAAGGAUAAACAUAUAGGAUUUAACUGUAUAAAAUGUUAAACUUCUGUAUUAAAUGUAAAAAUAGCCAGAAUAUAUAGGAAAAAUAGUUAAUUUCUUAAUAUGCAAAAAAAAAAAAAAAAAAAAAACCUCAUCCAAGUCACUAAGUAAAAAUAUACACAUUCUGGAGGGAGUCAAGAUGGCUGAAUAGACAUAACUCUGGUGCACAACACCCAGUGAGAGAGAUGCAGAAAUUCAGAGAUCUCCUAGCUCCAACUGAGGUGCCAGGUGCAUUUCAAUGGGUCUGGUCGGACAGUGAGCAAAGCCCAGGCAGGGCAGACUGAGGCAGGGAGGGGUGCCACUUUACCCAGAAAGUGCAUCUGACUGGUGAGUUGGAGGCUCCCCCUCUGGCACUCCUGUCCAGAUACAGCGCUUCCCCCAAAGCCUCAGCAAUAUACAGAACAGGGGAUUUUUGCCAGUCAAGUGCUGGGAAUUACAAGCAUAGAGUUGAAUAAUAAUCCAGGACACUGUCUCAGAUUGGCGCACAGAUCUAAGCAAAUGCAUAAGCCCAUAAGCCUGCCAGGAGAGCCUGCGGACCGAGCUAUAGCCCCCUCCCACUGCCCAGAGAGAGAGGGAGCUGAAAGUGGGAAGACAGGAGCAGCUGGGUAGGCCCCUCCUCCAUGACUGGAGAGAGAGGGAGCUGAAAGCAGGGAGACAGACUAUGCGUCUAGGUGGGUCCCUACCCUUGCCCACAAACUCCAGAGGGCUGAAGCUCUGACUCUAGCAGGUUACGCAGCCAGUGUCUCAGUCUGAGCUGAAGGCUGAAUGAUCCAGCCCUGUGGAGGAAACAUACAACCCACCAUUAAAGAGGUGGGACUAGGCUUCAUGUUUCAAUAAAAAACACAGGAAGGCUACAUAGCAACAGAACAAUGUUCUUGACCACCCAGCAGCACCUCCAGGUCAGUGGAAGAGGAGGGCCUAACCUCCCAGUGUAAACAAAAGACACAGGAAGCUUACCUAGUAAACUGAAGGAGUCCCUAGAAACCCAGUGUUGCCUUGACAGGAAGACAAGCGACCUCAUCAAGCAGCUCCCUGAGAUCACAGCCGGGUAAAUCCAUGAAGAUGGAAAAAAAAAAACAGCACAAAAAAGAUGAAACCAUCCAAGUCCAGAACACCUCUUCUCCUUCAAGGGAUCACAACUCAACAACAUGGGAACACAACAUGACUGAGAAAGACUGCGACGAAUUGACAGAAACAGGAUUCAGAAGGUGGAUAAUAACAAACUUUUCUGAGCUACAGGAACACAUUCGAACUCAAUGCAAAGAAACCAAAAGCCUUGAAAAAAGGUUAGACAAAAUGCUAACUAGAAUAAUCAGCUUAAGGCUGGGCGUAGUGGCUCAUCCCUGUAAUCCAAGCACUUUGGAGGCCAAGGCGGGCGGAUCACCUGAGGUCAGGAGUUCAAGACCAGCCUGACCAACAUGGUGAAACCCUGUCUUAAAAAAAAAAAAGAAAAAAAAGAAGAAUAACCAGCUUAGAGAAGAACAUAAAUAACUUGAUGGAAUUCAAAAACACAGCAUGAGAACUACGUGAAGCAAACACAAGUUUUAAUAGCUGAAUCUAUCAAGUAGAAGGAAGGAUAUCAGAAAUUGAAGAUUAACUCAAUGAAAUAAAAUGAGAAGGCAAGACAAGAGGAGUGAAAAGAAAUGAACAAAGCCUCCAAGAAAUAUGGGAUUAUGUGAAAAGACCUAAUCUAUGCUUGAUUGAUGUAGCUGAAUAUGAUAGGGAGAAUGAAUCCAAGCUGGAAAACAUGCUCCAGGAUAUCAUCCGGGAGAACUUCCCAAGCCUAGCAAGACAGUCCAACAUACAAAUCCAAGAAAUACAGAGAACUCCACAAAGAUAUUCCUCAAGAAGGGCAAACCCAAGGCACAUAAUCGUCAGAUUCACCAGGGUUGAAAUGAAGGAAAAAAUGCUAAGGGCAGCCAGAGAGAAAGGUCAGGUCACUCACAGAGGGAAGUCAAUCAGACUCACAGUGGAUCUCUUGGCAGAAACUCUACAAGCCAGAAUAGAGUGGGGGACAAUAUUCAACAUCCUUAAAGAAAAGAACUUUCAACCCAAAGUCUCAUAUCUAGCCAAACUAAGCUUCAUAAGUGAAGGAGAAAUAAAAUCCUUUAAGGACAAGCAAUUACUGAGAGAGUUCAUCACCACCAGACCUGCCCUACAAGAGCUCUUAAAAGAAACACUAAGCCUGGAAAGGAACAAGUACCAGUCACUGCAAAAGCAAACCAGUUGGCAAAGACCAAAAAUGCAAUGGAGAAAAUGAGUCAACUAAUGGGAAAGAAAACCAGCCAGUAACAAAAUGGCAGGAUCAAAUUCACACAUAACAAUAUUAACAAUAUUAACAUUGAAUGUAAAUGGCCUAAAUGCCCCAAUCACAAGACACAGACUGGCAAACUAGAUAAAAAGUCAAGACCCAUCAGUGUGCUGUAUUCAGGAAACCCAUCUCACAUACAAAGACACACAUAGACUCAAAAUAAAGGGAUAUAAGAAGAUUUACCAAGCAAAUGGAGAACAAAAAAAGCAGGGGUUGCAAUCCUAGUCUCUGAUAAAAUGGACUUCAAACCAACAAAGAUCAAAAGAGACAAAGGGCAUUACAUAAUGGUAAAAAGAUCAAUCCAACAAGAAGAGCUAACUAUCCUAAAUAUAUAUGCACCCAACACAGGAGCACCCAGAUAUAUAAAGCAAGUUCUUAACAAUCUAAAACGAGAUUUAGACUCCCACACAAUAAUAGUGGGAGACUUCAACACUCCACUGUCAAUAUUAGACAGAUCAACGAGACAGAAAAUUAACAAGGACAUCCAGGACUUGAACAUAGAGCUUGACCAAGCAGACCUAACAGAGAUAUACAGAAUGCUCCAUCCCAAAUCCACAGAAUAUACAUUUUUCUCAGCACCUUACUGUAAAAUUGCUCACAUAAUUGGAAGCGAAUCACUCCUCAGCAAAAUCAAAAGAAUGGAAAUUAUAACAAACAGUCUAUCAGACCACGGUGCAAUCAGAUUAGAACUCAGGAUUAAGAAACACAUUCAAAUCCGCACAACUACCUGGAAACUGAACAACUUGGUUCUCAAUGUCGACUGGAUAAACAAUGAAAUGAAGGAAUAAAUAAAGAUAUUCUUCAAAACCAAUCAGAAUGAAGACACAACUUACCAGAAUCUCUGGGGACAUUUUUAAAGCAGUGUCGAGAGGGAAAUUUACAGCAAUAAAUGCCCACAUGAGAAAAAGGAAAGAUCUAAAAUUGACACCCUAUCAUCAAAAUUGAAAGAGCUAGAGGAGGAAGAUCAAAAAAAAAGCUCAAAAGGUAGCAGAAGACAAGAAAUAACUAAGAUCAGCGCUGAACAGAAGGAAGUAGAGACAUAAAAAACUCUUCAAAAAAAUCAAUAAAUCUAGGAGCUGGUUUUUUGAAAAGAUCAACAAAACAGACAGACUGCUAGCCAGACUAAUAAAAAAGAAAAGAGAGAAAAAUCAAAUAGACACAGUAAAAAACCAUAAAGGGGAUAUCACCACUGAUCCCACAGAAAUACAAACUACCAUCUGAGAUUACUACAAACAGCUCUAUGCACAUAAACCAGUAAACCAGGAAGAAAUGGAUAAACUCCUGGACACUUGUACUCUAUCAAGAUUAAACCAGAAGGAAGUUGAAACCCUGAAUAGACCAAUAACAAGGGCUGAAGUUGAGGUAGCAAUCAAUAGCCUACCAACCAAAAAAAGUCCAGAUCCAGAUGGGUUCACAGCUGAAUUCUACCAGAUGUACAAAGAGGAGCUGGUUCCAUUCCUUCUGAAACUGCAUCAAACAAUACAAAAAGAGGAAGUACUCCCUAACUCAUUUUAUAAGACCAACAUCAUCCUGAUACAAAAACCAGGCAGAGACUCAACUAAAAAAAAAAACUUCAGGUCAAUAUCCAUGAUGAACAUCAACACAAAAAUAUUCAAUAAAAUACUGGCAAACCAAAUGCAAAGCACAUCAAAAAACUUUUUCAUCACGAUCAAGUAGGCUUCAUCCUGGGGAUGCAAAGCUGGUUCAACAUAUGGAAGUCCAUAAAUGUAAUCCGUCACAUAAACAGAACCAAAGACAAAAACCACCUGAUUAUCUCAAUAGAUGCAGAGAAGGCCUUUGACAAAAUUCAACAGCCCUUCAUGCUAAAAACUCUCAAUAAAUUAGGUAUUGAUGGGACGUAUCAUAAAAUGAUAAAAGCUAUUUAUGACAAACCUACAGCCAAUAUCAUACUGAAUGGGCAAAAGCUGGAAGAAUUCCCUUUGAAAUCAGGCACUAGACAAGGAUGCCCUCUCUCACCACUCCUAUUCAAUAUAGUAUUGGAAGUUCUAGCCAGAGCAAUCAGGCAAGUAAAAGAAAUAAAGGGUAUUCAAUUAGGAAAGGAGGAAGUCAAACUGCCUCUAUUUGCAGACAACAUGAUUGUAUAUUUAGAAGACACCAUUGUCUCAGCCCAAAAUCUCCUUAAGAUGAUAAGCAACUUCAGCAAAGUCUCAGGAUACAAAAUCAAUGUGCAUAAAUCACAAGCAUUUCUAUAUAUCAAUAACAGACAAACAGAAAGCCAAAUCAAGAGCAAACUCCCAUUCACAAUUGCUACAAAGAGAAUAAAAUACCAAGGAAUACAACUAACAAAGGAUGUAAAGGACCUCUUCAAGGGGAACUACAAAUGACUGCUCAAUGAAAUAAGAGAGGACACAAACAGAUGGAAAAACAUUCCAUGCUCAUGGUUAGGAAGAACUAAUAUCGUGGUGAAAAUGGCCAUACUGCCCAAAGUAAUCUAUAGAUUCAAUGUUAUCCCCAUCAAGCUACCAAUGACCUUCUUCACAGAACUGGAAAAAACUACUUUAAACUUCAUAUGGAAUAACAAGAGAGCCUGCAUAGCCAAGACAAUUCUAAGGAAAAAGAACAAAGCUGGAGGCAUCACACUGCUGGACUUCAAACUGUACUACAAUGCUGCAGUAAUCAAAACAGCAUGGUUCUGGUACCAAAACAGAGACAUAGACCAACGGAACAGAAGAGAGGCCUCAGAGGCAACAUCACACAUCUACAACCAUAUGAUCUUUGACAAACCUGACAAAAACAAGCAAUGGGGAAAGGACUCCAUGUUUAAUAAAUGGUGUUGGGAAAACUGGCUAGCAUUGUGCAGAAAGCAGAAACUGGAUCCCUUCCUGUAACGUUACACUAAAAUUAACUCCAGAUGGAUGAAAAAUUUAAACAUAAAACUUAACACCAUAAAAACACUAGAAGAAAAUGUAGGCAAAACCAUCUAGGACAUAGGCAUAGGUAAGGACUUUAUGACUAAAACACCAAAAGCAAUGGCAACAAAAGCCAAGAUAGACAAAUGAGAUCUAAUUAAAAUUCAGAGCUUCUGUACAGCAAAAGAAACCAUCAUUAGAGCGAACCAGCAACCAACAGAAUGGGAAAAAAUUUUUGCAGUCUACCCAUCUGACAAAGGGCUAAUAUCCAGAAUCUACAAAUAACUAAAACAGAUAUACAAGAAAAAAACAAACAACCCCAUUCAAAAGUGGGUGAAGGGUAUGAGCAGACACUUUUAAAAAGAAGACAUACAUGAGGCCAACAAACAUAUGAAAAUGUGCUCAUCGUCACUGGUCAUUAGAGAAACGCAAAUCAAAACUACAUUGAGAUACCAUUUCACGCCAGUUAGAAUGGCGAUCAUAAAAAAAUCUGGAGACAACAGAUGCUGGAGAGGAUGUGGAGAAAUAGGAACACUUUUACACUGCUGGUGGGAGUGUAAAUUAGUUCAACCAUUGUGGAAGACAGUGUGGUGAUUCCUCAAGUAUCUAGAAAUAGAAAUUCCGUUUGACCCAGCAAUCUCAUUACUGGGUAUAUACCCAAAGAACUAUAAAUCUUUCUAGUAUAAAGGCCCAUGCACAUGUAUGUUCAUUGCAGCCCUGUGUACAAUAGCAAAGACCUGGAACCAACCCAAAUGCUCAUCAAUGAUAGACUGAAAAAGAAAAUGUGGCACAUAUACACCAUGGAAUACUACACAGUCAUAAAAAAAGGUGAGUUCAUAUCCUUUGUAGGGAUUUGGAUGAAUCUGGAAAUCAUCAUUCUCAGCAAACUGACAGAAGAACAUAAAAGCAAAACCAAACACUGCAUGUUCUCACUCAUAGGCAGAUGUUGAACAAUGAGAACACGUGGACUCAGGGAGAGGAGCAUCACAC